rnacentral:rRNA from 1 species
AACGAACGCUGGCGGCGUGCCUAACACAUGCAAGUCGAACGAGAAAGCUUGGGCAACUGAGUGAGUAAAGUGGCGCACGGGUGAGUAACACGUGGGUAACCUACCCUUGAGUUGGGGAUAACUCCGCGAAAGCGGGGCUAAUACCGAAUAAUAUUUUGAGGUCCUCGGACCUUGCAACCAAAGAUGGCCUCUGCAUGCAAGCUAUCGCUUAAGGAUGGGCCCGCGUACCAUUAGCUAGUUGGCAGGGUAAUGGCCUACCAAGGCAACGAUGGUUAGCUGGUCUGAGAGGAUGGCCAGCCACACUGGAACUGAGAUACGGUCCAGACUCCUACGGGUGGCUG